AUCCGUGGUGAUUACGGCCAUGUUGUUAAUCAGGUCUCAUGGCCUAAUUUCCUCGGAUUU
rnacentral:pre_miRNA from 1 species